GGGCCCGUAGCUCAGCCUGGUCUAGAGCACUGCUCUGAUAAGGCAGGGGUCCUGUGUUCAAAUCACAGCGGGCCCA
rnacentral:tRNA from 1 species